rnacentral:misc_RNA from 1 species
GAUAAAGACUUAGUUGAGUUGAGUCGAGUAUAUAAAAGAUCAAAUUUGGGCAACAGCAAGGAUAUGAAUCAGCACUAUGUUACAAGAUCAAACCAGAAGAAAGUCCUACAUCAUAUAGAAUAACCUCAGCAUCUUUGGUAUAAGGAAGGAUUCACACAUCCAUAAGAAUUUUAUUUCCCAAGCAUUGGGAUAUACAAUAAACCAAAAUUCUACAAACCAAAAUCCCACUCCUAAGUUCGACAACCAAAAGGAGCUUCUUCUUUUUUAUUUUUUUGCUUUUUGAGAAAAAGGCGAGCUUCAAUUAAUUGAAAAGAGAAACACAGAUCAAAAUGGAAGCAACAUUGAUUGAGAGCCAUGAUCAAAGGAAAUGGAAUGUGAUGGAUAGGCAAAGCAGCUUACUGAACAAAGCUGGGAUUGGUUAUAAGCCACUGAAUGAAACACAAUAUGAAAUCUUGUUGGCACUAAAGAGCACAAAUGACACUAAUAGUGCAUGGCAAUCAAUAAAACUAAAAGAAAAUAAGGCAUUUGAAUGGAAAGAGAGGUGAGAUUGAUAUAACUGUACAAACUACAAGAUAGCUUCAAGAGCAAGCGUGCAAGGUUUGUAAUUAAGAUUUGAUAACAGCUAAACCAAGUACGGUGUUUGCAACGGUAGACUUUGUAUCAUAUGCAAUAGCAUAAGUAGUAAAAGGCAUCCUAUUUGGCUAAUACUACUAUGAAGACUCUAAUAAUUCACAGUAACAACAACAAAAACAACAAAGUCUUAAUCUCAAAUUAGUUUGGGUCGGCCAAUCGGCUUUGUUUGAGACUAGUUCCGCAUGAAAUAUUCAAAGGUAUAAAAUAAAAGUGCCCUCUAAAAUAUUAAAAAAAAAAAGUUGAACUUUUUGCCACUUCAUUUCGAAUCUUUAUCAAACAUCUUGUGAGCAAGGACUCCACGUGAUGUCUUGUGAAAACCUUCGAAGAGCAAAUGAUUUCGUUGAAUUUAGGUUGCCACAGGAAAAACUUAAUUAUAAAAAGGAAAAUAAAACAUUUUAAUAGCUACCAAUUAAAAGAUUCAAGUUCUGAAAAAAAAGUGAAGAAAUUCAAUUAAUUAGGUUUACACGCAUAUAUCCAGCAAGCUGAACAUAGUGAUACAAUGGCUACACAAUUGAACGGGAAAAGCAGUUUAAAUAGGCAAAUCUACCAUCAAAUCGAAUAGGCUAAAAGAAUCAACAACUGAAAAUCUGAAACGUAAAGCUAAAAGCUAAGCUAUAUCUACGAAAUUGAAUGAGUAAUCAACGGAAAUAGCACACAACUGCAAAAACAAAACGCAUAAUUGAAA